rnacentral:rRNA from 1 species
AUUGAACGCUGGCGGCAGGCCUAACACAUGCAAGUCGAACGAGUGGCGGACGGGUGAGUAAUGUCUGGGAAACUGCCCGAUGGAGGGGGAUAACUACUGGAAAAGGUAGCUAAUACCGCAUACCAUCGGAUGUGCCCAGAUGGGAUUAGCUAGUAGGUGUGGUAACGGCUCACCUAGGCGACGAUCCCUAGCUGGUCUGAGAGGAGGAACAGCAACCCGGGAACUGAGACACGGUCCAGACUCCAACGGGAGGCAGCAGUGGGGAAUAUGGCACAAUGGGCGCAAGCCUGAUGGAGCCAUGCCGCGUGUAUGAAGAAGGCGUGCGGGUUGUAAAGUACUUUCAGCGAGGAGGCGUUACUCGCAGAAGAAGCAUCGGCUAACUCCGUGCCAGCAGCCGCGGUAAUAC